CAGGACAGUUCGUGGUAAUGAUGACAAAUGCCCAGACAAUACUAUGAUAAGAAAUUCUGCUUUAGAAAUGGGAUUCAGUUUUCUUGCUGCAACAGUUUGCCACCUCUAUAUCAUUAUAUUUCACUUUGUGCGGACAGAAGCACCAAGAUUGUCAAUGUGUUUCACUAGGCUCAUCAUUGCAUUAUUGUGCACUGUUAUGUCUUCAUGGAUCCUAUUGUACACUUUUUAUAUCCCUCAAGCUUUGUUCAAGGCAUUCUUUUGGUGGGUCAUUGGUCCAUUUUUGGCUCUGAAUUGGUUUUUGAGUGUCCCUAUAGGUUGCACGGGAUGUCUUACCGAGAAGUCCAUGAUAAAAGUUUAGAGCAUUGCAGAAAGGACAGAUGAUUAGGUAUGCUCAUCCUAGCUGGCUGGCUCAAUAAAGAUUUGCCAUUAGUGGUACAUCAUUAGUGCUGGAACUAAUUUUUUUGUCAUCUGAUUAGAGUCAAGACCCUUGUGAUCAACAUAUUUCAUUUCUUAUGAAUUGAUUGACUUGUAUCCUUCCCAUAGACCAAGGUCAUACUUGAUUAACACACACAACUUGGUGCUGAUGUUGUUAAAAGUUAAAGCUUCUGUAGUGUAUAGAUUUUUUCAUGAA